UACAGAGGUCUCAAGCGUUGUUCGGAUUCAUUGGGCGUAAAGGGUGCGUAGCGGCGCCGUAAGUCAGGUGUGAAAUUUCGGAGCUUAACUCCGAAACUGCAUUUGAUACUGCGGUGCUUGAGGACUGGAGAGGAGACUGGAAUUUACGGUGUAGCAGUGAAAUGCGUAGAGAUCGUAAGGAAGACCAGUGGCGAAGGCGGGUCUCUGGACAGUUCCUGACGCUGAGGCACGAAGGCCAGGGGAGCAAACGGG
rnacentral:rRNA from 1 species